rnacentral:rRNA from 1 species
UUCCCUAGUACGGCGAGUGAAGCGGGAAGAGCUCAAAUUUGAAAUCUGGUAGCCUUCGGUUGCCCGAGUUGUAAUCUAGAGAAGUGUUUUCCGCGUUGGCCCAUGUACAAGUCCCUUGGAACAGGGCGUCAUAGAGGGUGAGAAUCCCGUCCUUGACAUGGACCCCCAAUGCUUUGUGAUACACUUUCAACGAGUCGAGUUGUUUGGGAAUGCAGCUCAAAAUGGGUGGUGAAUUCCAUCUAAAGCUAAAUAUUGGCGAGAGACCGAUAGCGAACAAGUACCGUGAGGGAAAGAUGAAAAGCACUUUGGAAAGAGAGUUAAACAGUACGUGAAAUUGUUGAAAGGGAAACGAUUGAAGUCAGUCAUGCUCUUUGGAUUAAGCCGUUCUGCGGUGUAUUUCAUUGAGCGGGGUCAACAUCAGUUUUGAUCGCUGGAAAAGGGCAGGAGGAAGGUAGCACUCUCGGGUGAACUUAUAGCCUCUUGUCGUAUACAGUGAUUGGGACUGAGGAACGCAGCAUGCCUUUUGGCCGGGAUUCGUCCACGUACAUGCUUAGGAUGUUGACAUAAUGGCUUUAAACGACCCGUCUUGAACCACGGGACCA